UACGUAGGGGGCUAGCGUUGUCCGGAAUCAUUGGGCGUAAAGAGCGUGUAGGCGGUCCGGUAAGUCCGCUGUGAAAGUCGGGGGCUCAACCCUCGAAUGCCGGUGGAUACUGUCGGGCUAGAGUCCGGAAGAGGAGAGUGGAAUUCCUGGUGUAGCGGUGGAAUGCGCAGAUAUCAGGAGGAACACCAAUGGCGAAGGCAGCUCUCUGGUACGUGACUGACGCUGAGACGCGAAAGCGUGGGGAGCGAACAGG
rnacentral:rRNA from 1 species